rnacentral:rRNA from 1 species
GACGUAGGGCGCAAGCGUUGUCCGGAUUUAUUGGGCGUAAAGAGCUCGUAGGCGGCUCAUUGCGUCGCCCGUGAAAACCUGGGGCUCAACUUCAGGAUUGCGGGCGAUACGGGUGGGCUGGAGUUCGGUAGGGGAGACUGGAAUUCCUGGUGUAGCGGUGAAAUGCGCAGAUAUCAGGAGGAACACCGGUGGCGAAGGCGGGUCUCUGGGCCGAUACUGACGCUGAGGAGCGAAAGCGUGGGGAGCGAACAGGAUUAGAUACCCUGGUAGUCCACGCUGUAAACGUUGGGCGCUAGGUGUGGGGGGCCUCUCCGGUUUCCUGCGCCGUAGCUAACGCAUUAAGCGCCCCGCCUGGGGAGUACGGCCGCAAGGCUAAA